rnacentral:rRNA from 1 species
UACAGAGGGUGCAAGCGUUAAUCGGAAUUACUGGGCGUAAAGCGCGCGUAGGCGGUUGUGUAAGUUGGAUGUGAAAUCCCCGGGCUUAACCUGGGCACUGCAUUCAAAACUGCACGGCUAGAGUAUUGGAGAGGAAGGUAGAAUUCCAGGUGUAGCGGUGAAAUGCGUAGAGAUCUGGAGGAAUACCGAUGGCGAAGGCAGCCUUCUGGCCAAAUACUGACGCUGAGGUGCGAAAGCAUGGGGAGCAAACAGG